rnacentral:rRNA from 1 species
GNUCGGCUUCGUAGGUGACCUGCGGAGGAUCAUUACCGAGUGCGGGUUCGAACGAGCCCAACCUCCCACCCGUGUUUACUGUUACCGCGUUGCCUCGGCGGGCCCACUGGGGCCUGGCCCCGGUCGCCGGGGGGCUUCUGCCCCCGGGCCCGCGCCCGCCGAAGCACCCUAGAACCCUGCCUGAACAGUGAGUCUGAGUGAGAUUUUAAAUCAUUAAAACUUUCAACAACGGAUCUCUUGGUUCCGGCAUCGAUGAAGAACGCAGCGAAAUGCGAUAAGUAAUGUGAAUUGCAGAAUUCCGUGAAUCAUCGAAUCUUUGAACGCACAUUGCGCCCCCUGGCAUUCCGGGGGGCAUGCCUGUCCGAGCGUCAUUUCUGCCCUCCAGCACGGCUGGGUGUUGGGUGCUGUCCCCCCGGGGACACGCCCCAAAAGCAGUGGCGGCGCCGCGUCGGGUCCUCGAGCGUAUGGGGCUCUGUCACCCGCUCGGGAGGGACUCGGUCGGCGCUGGUCUUCCCUUUAGGCCGCCCUUCGGGGUGCGCCUCUUCCGGUUGACCUCGGAUCAGGUAGGGCUACCCGCUGAACUUAAGCAUAUCAAAA